UACCAGCACCCGAGUGGUCGGACGAUUAUUGGGUACCGUAAGCAGUCCGUAGCCGGCCUUACAAGCCUCCGAUUAAAUCCAGGCUGCCGUUAACCAGAUGGGCUGCGGAGGAUACUAUAGACUAGGAGGCAGGAGAGGCAAGCGGUACUCAGUGGGAUAGGGGUAAAAUCCGUUGAUCCGAUUGAAGACCACCAGUGGCGAAG
rnacentral:rRNA from 1 species